rnacentral:rRNA from 1 species
CCCUACGGGGCGCAGCAGGCGCGAAAACUUUACAAUGUGCGAAAGCGCGAUAAGGGAACUCUGAGUGCCUCCUAAGGAGGCUGUUCAGGUGUCUAAAAAGCA